rnacentral:rRNA from 1 species
ACCCUGCAAUCAAAUAGAUUGUCCCAAGGGCGCCAUAUUCUAGGAGCCCAAGUUAUGCUAUUGAAAAUUCAUUCCUCUAGCAGUUCCGGUUUGAGCAUUCCGUUCCCUUUUUCAAACUCCACUUCUUUUCAUAUAGCAUCCCUGAUCAAAGAGAGAACAAUAUCCAUUUCAAAACAUUUCUAACAGAUUCCUUAGUUCGGACCGACGAAGUAA